rnacentral:rRNA from 1 species
CGUAGGGUGCGAGCGUUAAUCGGAAUUACUGGGCGUAAAGCGUGCGCAGGCGGUUUCGUAAGCCAGAUGUGAAAUCCCCGGGCUUAACCUGGGAAUGGCAUUUGGGACUGCAAGGCUUGAGUGCGGCAGAGGAGACUGGAAUUCCUGGUGUAGCAGUGAAAUGCGUAGAUAUCAGGAGGAAUACCGAUGGCGAAGGCAGGUCUCUGGGCUGACACUGACGCUCAUGCACGAAAGCGUGGGGAGCAAACAGGAUUAGAUACCCUGGUAGUCCACGCCCUAAACGAUGUCGACUGGUUGUUGGGGGUUUGACACUCUCAGUAACGAAGCUAACGCGUGAAGUCGACCGCCUGGGGAGUACGGCCGCAAGGUUA